rnacentral:misc_RNA from 1 species
CCGCAGUGUCGGCCGGCAC